CCUACGGGUGGCAGCAGUGGGGAAUAUUGGACAAUGGGCGAAAGCCUGAUCCAGCCAUGCCGCGUGUGUGAAGAAGGCCUUCGGGUUGUAAAGCACUUUCAGUGGGGAAGAAAGCCUUGGGGCUAAUACCCUCGAGGAAGGACAUCACCCACAGAAGAAGCACCGGCUAACUCCGUGCCAGCAGCCGCGGUAAUACGGAGGGUGCGAGCGUUAAUCGGAAUUACUGGGCGUAAAGCGCGCGUAGGCGGUCUGUAAGCCGGUUGUGAAAGCCCCGGGCUCAACCUGGGAACGGCAUCCGGAACUGUCAGGCUAGAGUGCAGGAGAGGAAGGUAGAAUUCCCGGUGUAGCGGUGAAAUGCGUAGAGAUCGGGAGGAAUACCAGUGGCGAAGGCGGCCUUCUGGACUGACACUGACGCUGAGGUGCGAAAGCGUGGGUAGCAAACAGGAUUAGAUACCCCAGUAGUC
rnacentral:rRNA from 1 species